UGUGAGGAUAUCUGCUCUGUUCUGGCACUGGGAGCUAUUUAUGAUUUUCUGUUUCUUUCUUCAUUCAUUCAUUCAUUAUUUAUUUAUUGUUUUUGCUCAGCAGUAAGAAUUGAGGACUUCCCGUGAACAUCUAGUAUGCAAAUGAAUGAAGAGCAGUAUUUGUGGUCCAGAGCCAGCUGCCACAUUGUGAGAGGUACCCUACAGAAAAGUCCACAUGGCAAGGAACUGAGGGAUGCUUCUAGGCAACAGUCUGCAAAGAACUGAGGCCUUCAGUGCAAUAGCCCACAAGAAGCUAACUCCUGCUGACAACCAGGUGUCCAAAAGCUGGCCUUUUCCUGGAACAUGAGUGAUUUUUUCGGGGUGCCUAAAGGAAGAGCCACACACCACACCCCAUUGCAUAUUCCCUGAGAGCAAGAUCUGACUCAAGUUUGACUUCUUCUCCCUCCAUCAUUUCUACAAAGUUUCCCCAUGGGCACCUUCUCCUGGGUUCCCUUAGCCCAGAGAUAAGAAAAUGUGUCGAACAGAUAGCUCAAGCCCUGAAAUUUCUGGAUAUUUCUAAUACUUUUAUUUUACAUUUAUUCUUGAAAAGCAGUGUGGUUAACUCUAUUUCUCCCUCACAUCUAUUUUUGUUAUCAUUACCAUGUAUUUUAAUUCAACAUAUAUUUUAACCUCAACAAGAUAUUUUCAUUGUACUAGUCAAUGUUCAUUUAGUUUUAACCAUGUAGUUACCCUUUCGUCUUUCUUUCUACCUUAUGUUACUGAGCUUAAAUUAGGGAUCAGUUUCUUUGCCUGAGGAACUGUUACAAUGUUGCUUUUGGUGUGGGUCUACUGGCAUUAAAUUCCCCCAAGUUUUUGUGUGU